rnacentral:rRNA from 1 species
UCGUACCGUAUUCCGAACACUGGUGGACUAGUUAAAAUGUACUCAGGCCAUAGGAUCAACCACGUUAAAGGAACUCGGCAAAAUGCACUCGUGACCGUGGAGGAUGAGUGGCUAACAAGACACAGAAAAUAGACGACAGCGCCUGUUUAACAAAAACACGGAAUAGUGCGAACAGUUCUGAACUGACGGUAAACUAUUCGCCGCCUGCCCAAAGGCGAAAGCAAACGGCGGCAGUAACCCUGACUGUCCUAAGGUCAUUUCGUGGCCCUUUGAUUGUUGUGUGUGUAAAAAUACACACAACAAUAAAAGGGGGUAUGUGUGAUAACACAUACUUCCUUUGAUUGUUGUGUUACACUACAAUAAAAGGGGGGUAUGUGUAUAUUGUUGUGUGUAACACAACAAUAUACACAUUCCUUCCUUUGUAGGAUAUGAUUUAUAAAAUUGAAUUUGUACAAAAUUAAAUUUUAUUAUACACACACACCUACAACGCACUUUGCUGUAUGCUGGAACUCCCCCCGCAGCAGGGAAAUCAGCAAGGAAGUAUGCUUAGUCAGAAAAACCUCAAUUAUUGGGUUGCUGGGUUUUAUCGAUUAAUAAAAUCAAAUUAUUAUUUGAUUUUAUUAACAGAGCUUUUUAUUGUUUAACAAUAAAAAGCUUCGAUUAAUUAAAUAGAAUAAACUAAGUUUAUUCUAUUUAAUUAACAGUUUAUAAAAUUUAAUUUUGUACAAAUUAAAUUUUAUAAACCGAUUAAUUUUAUAGAAUAAACUUUGUUUAUUCUAUAAAAUUAACAGUGCUUUUUUGUUAAACAAAAAAGCAUCGACGCCCCCCCCCAAAAACAGGCACUACUAGGUAAACCCUUCAGAGACUAUACGCAAAGCUUCUGUGUUUAAAAUUAAAUUAAAUAAAUAUUUAAUUUUUUUAACAGUUAAUAAAAUUAUUUUUUUAUUUUAUUAAUAUUAGCCCACGGCCACAGAUGAAGAUAGAGUCCAUACCGUUGUUAAAAGCUUUGGAUAAACAGUUAAUUUAAUUUAAUUUCAUUUUAAUGAAAUUAAUUAAAAUUAAUCGAUUUAUUUUAUUACAUUAGAAUGUAAUAAAAUAAAUCGAAGAUAUGAGCGAAAUCCCUUGACGUUUAAUUGGCGUCGUUGCAUGAAUGGCUGAACGACUGUCGUGCUGUCUCUAACGUGGAAUCUGUGAAUUUGCAAUCUUCGUGCAGAUGCGAAGAUGCUGACAAGGGACGAAGAGACCCUAUGCAGCUUAGCUGGGUGUGAAAAGUUAGUCGCGAAGAGUACAGCGGGUCUUUUGAUUGUAAAAUAUUACAUCCUCUUGCUACAAGACAUUGACUUUGAGGCUCAAGCUUCGCUGGGACGGCGGCUUCCUGAACAGUAACGGGAGCGAAACAAGGGUAUGGCUAAAACUUAAAUGGAAAGCUGUACUUAACUGCAAGAACCACAAUUCGAGCAGAGAUUUUUGAGGCGUUGUUUUAACAACUUUUCAAUUGUGU